AAAUUGAAGAGUUUGAUCAUGGCUCAGAUUGAACGCUGGCGGCAGGCCUAACACAUGCAAGUCGAACGGUAACAGGAAGCAGCUUGCUGCUUCGCUGACGAGUGGCGGACGGGUGAGUAAUGUCUGGGAAACUGCCUGAUGGAGGGGGAUAACUACUGGAAACGGUAGCUAAUACCGCAUAAUGUCGCAGGACCAAAGAGGGGGACCUUCGGGCCUCUUGCCAUCAGAUGUGCCCAGAUGGGAUUAGCUUGUUGGUGAGGUAACGGCUCACCAAGGCGACGAUCCCUAGCUGGUCUGAGAGGAUGACCAGCCACACUGGAACUGAGACACGGUCCAGACUCCUACGGGAGGCAGCAGUGGGGAAUAUUGCACAAUGGGCGCAAGCCUGAUGCAGCCAUGCCGCGUGUAUGAAGAAGGCCUUCGGGUUGUAAAGUACUUUCAGCGGGGAGGAAGGGGAUAAGGCUAAUAACCUUGUUCAUUGACGUUACCCGCAGAAGAAGCACCGGCUAACUCCGUGCCAGCAGCCGCGGUAAUACGGAGGGUGCAAGCGUUAAUCGGAAUUACUGGGCGUAAAGCGCACGCAGGCGGUCUGUCAAGUCGGAUGUGAAAUCCCCGGGCUCAACCUGGGAACUGCAUUCGAAACUGGCAGGCUUGAGUCUUGUAGAGGGGGGUAGAAUUCCAGGUGUAGCGGUGAAAUGCGUAGAGAUCUGGAGGAAUACCGGUGGCGAAGGCGGCCCCCUGGACAAAGACUGACGCUCAGGUGCGAAAGCGUGGGGAGCAAACAGGAUUAGAUACCCUGGUAGUCCACGCCGUAAACGAUGUCUACUUGGAGGUUGUGCCCUUGAGGCGUGGCUUCCGGAGCUAACGCGUUAAGUAGACCGCCUGGGGAGUACGGCCGCAAGGUUAAAACUCAAAUGAAUUGACGGGGGCCCGCACAAGCGGUGGAGCAUGUGGUUUAAUUCGAUGCAACGCGAAGAACCUUACCUGGUCUUGACAUCCACAGAACUUUCCAGAGAUGGAUUGGUGCCUUCGGGAACUGUGAGACAGGUGCUGCAUGGCUGUCGUCAGCUCGUGUUGUGAAAUGUUGGGUUAAGUCCCGCAACGAGCGCAACCCUUAUCCUUUGUUGCCAACGGUCCGGCCGGGAACUCAAAGGAGACUGCCAGUGAUAAACUGGAGGAAGGUGGGGAUGACGUCAAGUCAUCAUGGCCCUUACGACCAGGGCUACACACGUGCUACAAUGGCGCAUACAAAGAGAAGCGACCUCGCGAGAGCAAGCGGACCUCAUAAAGUGCGUCGUAGUCCGGACUGGAGUCUGCAACUCGACUCCAUGAAGUCGGAAUCGCUAGUAAUCGUGGAUCAGAAUGCCACGGUGAAUACGUUCCCGGGCCUUGUACACACCGCCCGUCACACCAUGGGAGUGGGUUGCAAAAGAAGUAGGUAGCUUAACCUUCGGGAGGGCGCUUACCACUUUGUGAUUCAUGACUGGGGUGAAGUCGUAACAAGGUAACCGUAGGGGAACCUGCGGUUGGAUCACCUCCUUACCUGAAAGAA
rnacentral:rRNA from 1 species